UAUGCAUAUGCUUUGUUGUGGUCAAAGUUUCCAAGCUAGCCUGAUCACUAUCCAAUAUUUAGAGUUUUAUCCUCAAAUGAUAUCAUGGUUUGUUGUCUAUUAGUGAACUAAUGUUGUGUUGCAGUUCUGUUUAUAGUGCUUUCUGUAAGAUUCAGUUGGUAGAUGCUUAGCUGUACACCCUAAAGUCAAUUGAUUGAGUAAUAGAGUUGGUAUAAAUUUUGUGCUCUGUAAUAUCUAUGUUCAAGAUUACGUAUAAAUUUUUGGUAUAAAUUUUAUUUUAAUUCGAACG
rnacentral:lncRNA from 1 species